rnacentral:rRNA from 1 species
AUUGAACGCUGGCGGCAGGCCUAACACAUGCAAGUCGAACGGUAACAGGAAGCAGCUUGCUGCUUUGCUGACGAGUGGCGGACGGGUGAGUAAUGUCUGGGAAACUGCCUGAUGGAGGGGGAUAACUACUGGAAACGGUAGCUAAUACCGCAUAACGUCGCAAGACCAAAGAGGGGGACCUUCGGGCCUCUUGCCAUCGGAUGUGCCCAGAUGGGAUUAGCUAGUAGGUGGGGUAACGGCUCACCUAGGCGACGAUCCCUAGCUGGUCUGAGAGGAUGACCAGCCACACUGGAACUGAGACACGAUCCAGACUCCUACGGGAGGCAGCAGUGGGGAAUAUUGCACAAUGGGCGCAAGCCUGAUGCAGCCAUGCCGCGUGUAUGAAGAAGGCCUUCGGGUUGUAAAGUACUUUCAGCGGGGAGGAAGGGAGUAAAGUUAAUACCUUUGCUCAUUGACGUUACCCGCAGAAGAAGCACCGGCUAACUCCGUG